rnacentral:rRNA from 1 species
AAAUUGAAGAGUUUGAUCAUGGCUCAGAUUGAACGCUGGCGGCAGGCCUAACACAUGCAAGUCGAACGGUAACAGGAAGAAGCUUGCUUCUUUGCUGACGAGUGGCGGACGGGUGAGUAAUGUCUGGGAAACUGCCUGAUGGAGGGGGAUAACUACUGGAAACGGUAGCUAAUACCGCAUAACGUCGCAAGACCAAAGAGGGGGACCUUCGGGCCUCUUGCCAUCGGAUGUGCCCAGAUGGGAUUAGCUAGUAGGUGGGGUAAAGGCUCACCUAGGCGACGAUCCCUAGCUGGUCUGAGAGGAUGACCAGCCACACUGGAACUGAGACACGGUCCAGACUCCUACGGGAGGCAGCAGUGGGGAAUAUUGCACAAUGGGCGCAAGCCUGAUGCAGC